rnacentral:rRNA from 1 species
UACCAAGGUUUCCGUAGGUGAACCUGCGGAAGGAUCAUUA